AUAGAACUGGGGAGGACAGUAAUGCGUCAGCCACCGUUGGGGUGGCUUUGGAAGGAUCUCGGCCGCUGCUGGUUGAAAUCCAGGUCUUAUGCUCUCCUGCCACUUCACUGCCAAGUAAAAGAACGUUCACUGGAGUGGAUCCAUCUCGAUUCAAUCUGAUUGUUGCCGUCUUACUCAAACAAGCGCGCUUGAGACUUGCAAGAC